AAAAUAAAUAGUGAAUUGAAUCAUCUCACUAACUAUUUAAAUUAAAAUCAACUGAAAAAGUGAGAGUAGCGGUGAGCGAAAUCAUAAAGCCUAA
rnacentral:rRNA from 1 species